rnacentral:rRNA from 1 species
CAGUCGCCACGGUAAUACAGAGGGUGCAAGCGUUAAUCGGAAUUACUGGGCGUAAAGCGUGCGUAGGUGGUUUGUUAAGUUGGAUGUGAAAUCCCCGGGCUCAACCUGGGAACUGCAUCCAAAACUGGCAAGCUAGAGUAUGGUAGAGGGUGGUGGAAUUUCCUGUGUAGCGGUGAAAUGCGUAGAUAUAGGAAGGAACACCAGUGGCGAAGGCGACCACCUGGACUGAUACUGACACUGAGGUGCGAAAGCGUGGGGAGCAAACAGGAUUAGAUACCCCAGUAGUCCCUGUCUCUUAUAC